rfam:Triticum aestivum genome assembly, contig: Triticum_aestivum_CS42_TGACv1_scaffold_062662_1DL
CAGUUACUCCCUCCAUUCGAAAAUACUUAUCAUCAAAAUGAAUAAAAAAUAUAUAUCUAAAAUUAAAAUACAUCUAGAUACAUCCUUUUUAUUUAUUUUGAUGACAAGUAUUUUCAGACGAAGGGAGUAUAUU